rnacentral:rRNA from 1 species
UAGAGUUUGAUCAUGGCUCAGGACGAACGCUGGCGGCGUGCUUAACACAUGCAAGUCGAACGAUGAAGCCCAGCUUGCUGGGUGGAUUAGUGGCGAACGGGUGAGUAACACGUGGGUGAUCUGCCCUGCACUUCGGGAUAAGCCUGGGAAACUGGGUCUAAUACCGGAUAGGACCUCGGGAUGCAUGUUCCGGGGUGGAAAGGUUUUCCGGUGCAGGAUGGGCCCGCGGCCUAUCAGCUUGUUGGUGGGGUAACGGCCCACCAAGGCGACGACGGGUAGCCGGCCUGAGAGGGCGACCGGCCACACUGGGACUGAGACACGGCCCAGACUCCUACGGGAGGCAGCAGUGGGGAAUAUUGCACAAUGGGCGCGAAGCCUGAUGCAGCGACGCCGCGUGAGGGAUGACGGCCUUCGGGUUGUAAACCUCUUUCAGUACCGACGAAGCGCAAGUGACGGUAGGUACAGAAGAAGCACCGGCCAACUACGUGCCAGCAGCCGCGGUAAUACGUAGGGUGCGAGCGUUGUCCGGAAUUACUGGGCGUAAAGAGCUCGUAGGCGGUUUGUCGCGUCGUCUGUGAAAACCCGCAGCUCAACUGCGGGCUUGCAGGCGAUACGGGCAGACUUGAGUACUGCAGGGGAGACUGGAAUUCCUGGUGUAGCGGUGAAAUGCGCAGAUAUCAGGAGGAACACCGGUGGCGAAGGCGGGUCUCUGGGCAGUAACUGACGCUGAGGAGCGAAAGCGUGGGUAGCGAACAGGAUUAGAUACCCUGGUAGUCCACGCCCGUAAACGGUGGGGCGCUAGGUGGUGGGGUUUCCUUCCACGGGAUCCCGUGCUUAAUUCGAUGCACCGCGAAAACCUUACCUGGGUUUGACAUACACCGGACCGCCCCAGAGAUGGGGUUUCCCUUGUGGUCGGUGUACAGGUGGUGCAUGGCUGUCGUCAGCUCGUGUCGUGAGAUGUUGGGUUAAGUCCCGCAACGAGCGCAACCCUUGUCCUGUGUUGCCAGCACGUAAUGGUGGGGACUCGCAGGAGACUGCCGGGGUCAACUCGGAGGAAGGUGGGGACGACGUCAAGUCAUCAUGCCCCUUAUGUCCAGGGCUUCACACAUGCUACAAUGGCCGGUACAGAGGGCUGCGAUACCGCGAGGUGGAGCGAAUCCCUUAAAGCCGGUCUCAGUUCGGAUCGGGGUCUGCAACUCGACCCCGUGAAGUCGGAGUCGCUAGUAAUCGCAGAUCAGCAACGCUGCGGUGAAUACGUUCCCGGGCCUUGUACACACCGCCCGUCACGUCAUGAAAGUCGGUAACACCCGAAGCCGGUGGCCUAACCCCUCGUGGGAGGGAGCCGUCGAAGGUGGGAUCGGCGAUUGGGACGAAGUCGUAACAAGGUAACCGUA